AGGUGAUAGGCAGCCGGUGUAAGUGCCGUAAGGCAUUUAGCCUAGCUGUACUAAUCGAUCGAUCGA
rnacentral:rRNA from 1 species